CUGAGCCGUAGAGAAUCAGAAGUGUGAAGUAUUUGGAAAACAUAUUGACGUCGAAAUGUUGUUUGCACUGACUCUUCUUGUAUUGGUUGGCAUGUCAUAUGCUGAAUAUUACACGUCCCACCAAUGCACGUGUUAUGAAUACCAAGCCUACUGUAAAAAUCCUGACACCGACACAGGUAUGAAUUGGAAUGAUGCAAAUGAAUAUUGUUUGGGACUUCCCGGUGGUGUAGGACUCGCAACCAUGGACACAGAGACAACCUAUAAAGACGUCAAGAAUU